rnacentral:pre_miRNA from 1 species
CAUGGGAUCCUCGAGAUUAAUUGCGAAGAUGAAUGCGAUUGUCUCGUCGAUUCCGAGGA